AUGAACGCUGGCGGCGUGCCUCAUACAUGCAAGUCGAGCGAACAGACGAGGAGCUUGCUCCUCUGACGUUAGCGGCGGACGGGUGAGUAACACGUGGAUAACCUACCUAUAAGACUGGGAUAACUUCGGGAAACCGGGGCUAAUACCGGAUAAUAUAUUGAACCGCAUGGUUCAAUAGUGAAAGACGGUUUUGCUGUCACUUAUAGAUGGAUCCGCGCCGCAUUAGCUAGUUGGUAAGGUAACGGCUUACCAAGGCAACGAUGCGUAGCCGACCUGAGAGGGUGAUCGGCCACACUGGAACUGAGACACGGUCCAGACUCCUACGGGAGGCAGCAGUAGGGAAUCUUCCGCAAUGGGCGAAAGCCUGACGGAGCAACGCCGCGUGAGUGAUGAAGGUCUUCGGAUCGUAAAACUCUGUUAUUAGGGAAGAACAAAUGUGUAAGUAACUAUGCACGUCUUGACGGUACCUAAUCAGAAAGCCACGGCUAACUACGUG
rnacentral:rRNA from 1 species